GACGAACGCUGGCGGCGUGCUUAACACAUGCAAGUCGAACGGGAAGGCCCUGCUCUAGUGGCGUGCUCGAGUGGCAAACGGGUGAGUAACACGUGAGUAGCCUGCCCUCGACUUUAAACUCACUCCAGGAACCUGGGGGUAAUACCGGAUAAGAGCUACUGCUGCCUGGUGGGGGUUGGAAAGUUUCGGCGGAUGGGGAUGGACUCGCGGCUUCUCAGCCUGUUGGUGGGGUAGUGGCUUACUAAGGCUUUGACGGGUACCCGCCCUGCAAGGGUGACCGGCCACCUUGGUACUAAGAUACGGCCCAGCCCCCUACGGGAGGCAGCAGUGGGGAAUAUUGCCCCACGGUCGGAGGUAUGAUGCAGGAGCGCCGCCUGCUGGAUGUCGGUCGUCCCCUUGUAGACUGCUUUCGCAUGUGACGAAGCCUCAGUGACGGUAAUGGGUAAAUAAGCACCGGCUAACUCCGUG
rnacentral:rRNA from 1 species